UACGAAGGGGGCGAGCGUUGUUCGGAUUUACUGGGCGUAAAGGGCGCGCAGGCGGCUCAUUUUGUCAGGCGUGAAAGCCCCGGGCUUAACCUGGGAACUGCGUUUGAUACGGAUGGGCUAGAGUUCGGGAGAGGAGAGUGGAAUUCCCAGUGUAGAGGUGAAAUUCGUAGAUAUUCGGAAGAACACCAGUGGCGAAGGCGACUUACUGGACACAUAUUGACGCUGAGGUGCGAAAGCGUGGGGAGCAAACAGG
rnacentral:rRNA from 1 species